UACAGAGACUGCAAGCGUUGUUCGGAUUCAUUGGGCGUAAAGGGUCCGUAGGCGGUCGGUUAAGUCGGUGGUGAAAUCCUGGAGCUCAACUCCAGAACUGCCUUCGAUACUGGGAAGCUCGAGUCCGGGAGAGGUGAGUGGAACUGCGAGUGUAGAGGUGAAAUUCGUAGAUAUUCGCAAGAACACCAGUGGCGAAGGCGGCUCACUGGCCCGGUACUGACGCUGAGGUGCGAAAGCGUGGGGAGCAAACAGG
rnacentral:rRNA from 1 species